GUACACUCCUGCGGUAGGCAGCAGUGGGGAAUUUUGGACAAUGGGCGAAAGCCUGAUCCAGCAAUGCCGCGUGAGUGAAGAAGGCCUUCGGGUUGUAAAGCUCUUUUGUCAGGGAAGAAACGGUGAGAGCUAAUAUCUUUUGCUAAUGACGGUACCUGAAGAAUAAGCACCGGCUAACUACGUGCCAGCAGCCGCGGUAAUACGUAGGGUGCAAGCGUUAAUCGGAAUUACUGGGCGUAAAGCGUGCGCAGGCGGUUUUGUAAGUCUGAUGUGAAAUCCCCGGGCUCAACCUGGGAAUUGCAUUGGAGACUGCAAGGCUAGAAUCUGGCAGAGGGGGGUAGAAUUCCACGUGUAGCAGUGAAAUGCGUAGAUAUGUGGAGGAACACCGAUGGCGAAGGCAGCCCCCUGGGUCAAGAUUGACGCUCAUGCACGAAAGCGUGGGGAGCAAACAGGAUUAGAAACCCGAGUAGUCCCAUGAU
rnacentral:rRNA from 1 species